rnacentral:rRNA from 1 species
GGGGAAUAUUGGGCAAUGGGCGAAAGCCUGACCCAGCAACGCCGCGUGAAGGAAGAAGGUCUUCGGAUUGUAAACUUUUGUCUUAUGGGAAGAAACGAGACGGUACCAUAGGAGGAAGCCACGACUAACUACGUGCCAGCAGUCGCGGUAAUACGUAGGUGGCGAGCGUUAUCCGGAAUUAUUGGGUGUAAAGGGUGCGUAGGCGGGAUGUAAAGUCAGAUGUGAAAUACCGGGGCUUAACCACGGGGUUGCAUUUGAAACUUAUGUUCUUGAGUUAAGUAGAGGCAAGCGGAAUUCCCAGUGUAGCGGUGAAAUGCGUAGAUAUUGGGAGGAACACCGGUGGCGAAGGCGGCUUGCUGGGCUUUGACUGACGCUGAGGCACGAAAGUGUGGGGAGCGAAC